rnacentral:rRNA from 1 species
CAUGCAAGUCGAGGGGCAGCAUGGUCUUAGCUUGCUAAGGCCGAUGGCGACCGGCGCACGGGUGAGUAACACGUAUCCAACCUGCCGUCUACUCUUGGACAGCCUUCUGAAAGGAAGAUUAAUACAAGAUGGCAUCAUGAGUCCGCAUGUUCACAUGAUUAAAGGUAUUCCGGUAGACGAUGGGGAUGCGUUCCAUUAGAUAGUAGGCGGGGUAACGGCCCACCUAGUCUUCGAUGGAUAGGGGUUCUGAGAGGAAGGUCCCCCACAUUGGAACUGAGACACGGUCCAAACUCCUACGGGAGGCAGCAGUGAGGAAUAUUGGUCAAUGGGCGAGAGCCUGAACCAGCCAAGUAGCGUGAAGGAUGACUGCCCUAUGGGUUGUAAACUUCUUUUAUAAAGGAAUAAAGUCGGGUAUGCAUACCCGUUUGCAUGUACUUUAUGAAUAAGGAUCGACUAACUCCGUGCCAGCAGCCGCGGUAAUACGGAGGAUCCGAGCGUUAUCCGGAUUUAUUGGGUUUAAAGGGAGCGUAGAUGGAUGUUUAAGUCAGUUGUGAAAGUUUGCGGCUCAACCGUAAAAUUGCAGUUGAUACUGGAUAUCUUGAGUGCAGUUGAGGCAGGCGGAAUUCGAGGUGUAGCGGUGAAAUGCUUAGAUAUCACGAAGAACUCCGAUUGCGAAGGCAGCCUGCUAAGCUGCAACUGACAUUGAGGCUCGAAAGUGUGGGUAUCAAACAGGAUUAGAUACCCUGGUAGUCCACACGGUAAACGAUGAAUACUCGCUGUUUG